CAGUCGCCACGGGAAUACGGAGGGUGCAAGCGUUAUCCGGAUUUAUUGGGUUUAAAGGGUCCGUAGGCGGAUCUGUAAGUCAGUGGUGAAAUCUCACAGCUUAACUGUGAAACUGCCAUUGAUACUGCAGGUCUUGAGUAAAUUUGAAGUGGCUGGAAUAAGUAGUGUAGCGGUGAAAUGCAUAGAUAUUACUUAGAACACCAAUUGCGAAGGCAGGUCACUAAGAUUUAACUGACGCUGAUGGACGAAAGCGUGGGGAGCGAACAGGAUUAGAUACCCCCGUAGUCCCUGUCUCUUAUAC
rnacentral:rRNA from 1 species